rfam:Nestor notabilis contig84228, whole genome shotgun sequence.
CCAGGAAAAUGACCUAUGAAUUGACAGACUGCUUUCUAAACUUGCCUGUCAUUUCUAUAGGCCAAUAUUCUGU